CGGGGCGUGGCGCAGUCCGGCAGCGUGCCUGCUUUGGGAGCAGGAGGUCCCGGGUUCAAAUCCCGGCGCCCCGA
rnacentral:tRNA from 1 species